rnacentral:piRNA from 1 species
GCAGUUGAUAAAUUCUAUCAGGGUUGG